rnacentral:rRNA from 1 species
GGACUACUGGGGUUUCUAAUCCUGUUUGCUCCCCACGCUUUCGCGCCUUAGCGUCAGAAACGACCCAGAUAGCCGCCUUCGCCACCGGUAUUCCUCCUAAUAUCUAAGAAUUUCACCUCUACACUAGGAAUUCUACUAUCCUCUAUCGUUCUCUAGUUAAUGAGUUUUGAAAGCAGUUCCCAGGUUAAGCCCGGGGCUUUCACUUUCAACUUUAUUAACCGCCUACACGCCCUUUACGCCCAAUAAUUCCGAAAAACGCUAGCUCCCCCCGUAUUACCGCGGCUGCUGGCAC